rnacentral:rRNA from 1 species
GACGAACGCUGGCGGCGUGCCUAAUACAUGCAAGUAGGACGCAGUUGGGAACGGGAGAGUAACGCGUAGGUAACUACCUAUUAGAGGGGGAUAACUAUUGGAAACGAUAGCUAAUACCGCAUACUAGUAGAUGGACCUGAGUUGUAUUAGCUAGUAGGUAGGGUAAUGGCCUACCUAGGCAACGAUACAUAGCCUACCUGAGGGGGUGGUCGGCCACACUGGGAAUGGGGCACGGCCCCGACCGCCACAGGAGGCAGCAGUAGGGAAUCUUCGGCAAUGGGGGGAACCCUGACCGAGCAACGGCGCGUGGGUGGAGGAGGUUUUCGGAGCGUAAAGCUCUGUUGUUAAGGAAGCGGUACUUAACCAGAAAGGGACGGCUAACUACGUGCCAGCAGCCGCGGUAAUAC